ensembl:lncRNA
AGGGGCGCAAAGGGAGCUUUCCUGGGGCCUGUGGCCACUCCCUCGUUUUUCCCUGGGAGAAAGGGGAAUGCUAUGCGGAGUCCCUUUGCCCGGAUUUUUACUAGAAUAGGCACAUAGCUGAGGUGUAUAUGUUUCUCCUUUCCGCAAAUAAUUUCUCCAUUACAAAGGGGGAAUUCGAUUCCAUGGUUUAGCAACUUCAAACCGUAAAGAUUUCCCCUGAAGGCAGGUACAGCCUGCUGCCUGACYGUAAAUCCCAGAAACAGGCUGCAAUUCAAGUGACACCCACCAACAUGUACUGCUGACUGUUACAGCUAAUACUAUGAUUUGUUCACAGCCUGAAUUCUGAAUAUCAACGCUUGCUAUGCAGACUACAGUGACACAUUCUGAUCUCCAAAGGAACAGAAUCCCUGCAUCAACAUGGGUUUGCUUCAACUGUGCUGGAUCACUGGAAAAGUUGGAGCUUUCCUCUGGUAUAAGUCCUCCUAAUCUCUUCAGCUUGAGCUCAUCUGGAACAGCUGCACACACUAAUAAAGUCAGCCGCUUGUAAUUUUGUUUCCARCACUCAAAUCCUUGAAGCCAGAUGUUUGAGCAGCUACAGAGGGGAAAUAUG